AAACUGAAGAGUUUGAUCCUGGCUCAGAUUGAACGCUGGCGGAAUGCUUUACACAUGCAAGUCGAGCGGCAGCGCGGGGCAACCUGGCGGCGAGCGGCGAACGGGUGAGUAACAUAUCGGAACGUAUCCAUAAGUGGGGGACAACCUAGCGAAAGUUAGGCUAAUACCGCAUACGCUCGAGAGAGGAAAGUGGGGGAUCGCAAGACCUCACGCUUUAGGAGCGGCCGAUAUCAGAUUAGCUAGAUGGUGAGGUAAAGGCUUACCAUGGCGACGAUCUGUAGCUGGUCUGAGAGGAUGAUCAGCCACACUGGGACUGAGACACGGCCCAGACUCCUACGGGAGGCAGCAGUGGGGAAUUUUGGACAAUGGGGGCAACCCUGAUCCAGCCAUUCCGCGUGAGUGAAGAAGGCC
rnacentral:rRNA from 1 species